rnacentral:tRNA from 1 species
GCCUGGCUGGCUUAGUCUGUAGAGCAUGAGACUCUUGAUCUUGGGGUCCUGAGUUCAAGCCCCAUGUCGGGCC